AUUGAACGCUGGCGGCAGGCCUAACACAUGCAAGUCGAGCGGAGCGGCGGGCGGGUGAGUAAGGCCUAGGAAUCUGCCUGGUAGUGGGGGAUAACGUCCGGAUACGGGCGGUAAUACCUAAUACUAUCAGUUGAGCCUAGCUCGGAUUAGCUAGUUGGUGGGGUAAAGGCCUACCCAGCCGACGAUCCGUAACUGGUCUGAGAGGAUGAUCAGUCACACUGGAACUCAGACACGGUCCAGACUCCUACGGGAGGCAGCAGUGGGGAAUAUUGGACAAUGGGCGAAAGCCUGAUGCAGCCAUGCCGCGUGUGUGAAGAAGGUCUUCGGAUUGUAAAGCACUUUAAGUUGGGAGGCGUUACCCACAGAAGAAGCACCGGCUAACUCCGUGCCAGCCGCCGCGGUAAUUC
rnacentral:rRNA from 1 species